rnacentral:rRNA from 1 species
UGGGGAAUAUUGGACAAUGGGGGGAACCCUGAUCCAGCCAUGCGCGUGUGUGAAGAAGGCCUUAUGGUUGUAAAGCACUUUAAGCGAGGAGGAGGGUACUGGUAUUAAUACUACCAGGUACUGGACGUUACUCGCAGAAUAAGCACCGGCUAACUCUGUGCCAGCAGCCGCGGUAAUACAGAGGGUGCGAGCGUUAAUCGGAUUUACUGGGCGUAAAGCGUGCGUAGGCGGCUAAUUGAGUCGGAUGUGAAAUCCCCGAGCUUAACUUGGGAAUUGCAUUCGAUACUGGUUAGCUAGAGUGUGGGAGAGGAUGGUAGAAUUCCAGGUGUAGCGGUGAAAUGCGUAGAGAUCUGGAGGAAUACCGAUGGCGAAGGCAGCCAUCUGGCCUAACACUGACGCUGAGGUACGAAAGCAUGGGGAGCAAACAGG